GCCCUUUUAGCUCAGUGGUAGAGCGCAUCACUCGUAUUCCGCGAUAUGAUGAGGUCUUCAGUUCAAUCCUGAAAGGGGGCA